UAUCCUCCGGCAAUUAGGAAGACUAAAGUUGUGACUGAUGCUAAGGUAGUGGCCUGUUUCACAUCCAUGAGCAUGGCACCAUAUGCUAGACCGAGGCUCUGAGAAACAAGUACGCUGUAAAGGACUACUAGAAGAGAUAGGAUGAAUGUGGCAGGGUUGGCUUUGAGCCCACCCAUCCAAUAUAGGAUGAAGGUAAACGCUGUUGGUAGUGCCAGUUCCAAGGGA
rnacentral:misc_RNA from 1 species